rnacentral:rRNA from 1 species
AACGAACGCUGGCGGCAUGCCUAACACAUGCAAGUCGAACGAGACCUUCGGGUCUAGUGGCGCACGGGUGCGUAACGCGUGGGAACCUGCCCUUAGGUUCGGAAUAACUCCCCGAAAGGGGUGCUAAUACCGGAUAAUGUCUUCGGACCAAAGAUUUAUCGCCUUUGGUUGGGCCCGCGUUGGAUUAGCUAGUUGGUAGGGUAAAAGCCUACCAAGGCGACGAUCCAUAGCUGGUCUGAGAGGAUGAUCAGCCACACUGGGACUGAGACACGGCCCAGACGCCUACGGGAGGCGGCAGGGGGGAAUAUUGGACAAUGGGAGAAAGCCUGAUCCAGCAAUGCCGCGUGAGUAAUGAAGGCCUUAGGGUUGUAAAGCUCUUUUACCCGGGAUGAUAAUGACAGUACCGGGAGAAUAAGCUCCGGCUAACUCCGUG